rnacentral:misc_RNA from 1 species
GAUGAAGAACGUAGCGAAAUGCGAUAAGUAGUGUGAAUUGCAGAAUUUAGUGAAUCAUCGAAUCUUUGAACGCACAUUGCGCCCUUUGGUAUUCCUUAGGGCAUGCCUGUUCGAGCGUCAUCUACACCCUCAAGCACAGCUUGGUGAUGGGCGCCUGUCCCGCCCCCCACGGGGGCGCGGACUCGCCUCAAAUGCAUUGGCGGCCGGCGACCUGGCUUCGAGCGCAGCAGAAACGCGUACUCGGGGACCGGGCGCCCGCUCCCAGAAGCCAACCCACCCAGUUUGACCUCGGAUCAGGUAGGGAUACCCGCUGAACUUAAGCAUAUCAUAGCGGAGGA